rnacentral:rRNA from 1 species
CCUACGGGUGGCAGCAGUGAGGAAUAUUGGUCAAUGGGCGCGAGCCUGAACCAGCCAAGUCGCGUGAGGGAAGACGGCGCUAUGGAUCGCAAACCUCUUUUGCCGGGGAGCAAAAGACGCCACGCGUGCCGUCCUGAGAGUACCCGAAGAAAAAGCAUCGGCUAACUCCGUGCCAGCAGCCGCGGUAAUACGGAGGAUGCGAGCGUUAUCCGGAUUCAUUGGGUUUAAAGGGUGCGCAGGCGGAACUUAAAGUCAGCGGUAAAAUUGAGGGGCUCAACCCCUUCGAGCCGUUGAAACUGGUUUUCUUGAGUGCGCGAGAGGUAUGCGGAAUGCGUGGUGUAGCGGUGAAAUGCAUAGAUAUCGCGCAGAACUCCGAUUGCGAAGGCAGCAUACCGGCGCUCAACUGACGCUGAGGCACGAAAGUGUGGGUAUCGAACAGGAUUAGAUACCCUGGUAGUC